UCAAAUUUCCCUAUGCAGCUGACUUGUAAAUGUUCUUCGAGUAUCUUCAUUCUUCCUUAAUCCUAAUGAAGUUUUAGAGGCGAAGAUACUCGAAAAACAUUUACUUGUUAUUUGUAUAGAAUUACUAUAUAUAGUCCGUCAGAACUCAAACACAAUUUCUUCCUCCAGAUCUGUGCUUACCAAAUCGAUAGUUUAGCUCAAUCGCCGUUUCUCAGUCUCUUAAAUUUCUCCUAGUUGUCAAAAGUUCGUACAGGUGACUUGUAAAUGUUUUGCUGACCUUCUAAUAUGAUAUAACUGGCAAAACAUUUACACGUACCUUGUAUGAACUUUUGAUUCUAGCUUUGCUGAAACCUUUUGAUGGAGAACUGCUCUAACUCAAGUGGCCAACCUGAAAGGCUGUGAUAUUCACAGGUCGGCGAGUUUAAAAAACACAUUAAUUGGUAUAAUGUUUCCAUUUUUGCUUAGAACACUUCGAAAUGAAUUAAUUAAACAAAAUCAGCACUAACUCAACUGAGUUUUUGGAUCUAACAUGAGGGAAAAAUUUAAUAAUUAAUUGUUAUUUUGAUGUUAAACAGAGACGCUCUAUGCUUUAAUAGGAGUUAGCAAAUCUCUUGGGAUUCAUAAUGGAAGAAAAAGAUCUAUUAGUUGAGAAUAUGUUUUAGUCAAGUGAGCACUUUUAUUUUACAUCCUAUACUAUUCUUGUAGUUGUUUAGCGUUUUAGAGAUUUAUACAUCAAUAGAAAAUAUAAAGAAUCUUUAAUACUUAUUAUUAUUGUUUUUGUUUUGUAUACGGCGAUCUAUCGAGACCCCUCCCCAAUAUUACUAUACACUUUUCUUAGAUCUCAAUAGCAAUCCCAAGAACCCAAAUCCCUGUUCUCAGAUCUAACCAAUUUUACAUCAAAAGCUGCUGCUUAAAUGCAGUCACUUUAGGAAAUUUUCUCUGUUUUCUUGAUCUGCGGUGGCUUGUUUUCUUGAUUACUUAUAAUCAAGGUAGAAUUUUUACACCAAUUUUGGUAAGUUCUUGGAUUUACUGCAAUUGGGUAGUGUUCAGUUUUUUCAGAUAAGUUGAUUGAUUCUUGGAAUAUCAAUGUUUUACUACUGCAAAUUAUGUUUAUUCAAUCUCAAUUGGUUCGUGUAGAAUACUAUGAAAUCUGCGUUUGAUUGUUAAUAUGAAUGGCCUGAUUUAUUUGCUUGACCAAAAUUUGAUAUCGUGGAGCUGUUCUUGGGUGGAAAUGGAUCUGCUAGCUUACUAUUUUGUUUAAAGAUAAAUAAUCUUUUAAGGGAAGUUUGGAUCCAUUGCCUGAUAAGACAUUAAUAUCUUGGAACUUAUAUAUCCAAUUUAUUUAACUUAAAUAUUUCUUAAGGUGAAGCAUACAAGUUAUAUCUACACUACAUUUUUGGCAUUUCAUGUUGUCAAUGAGAAAUGUCCUGCAAUUUUGAAAGCAUGUAGGGGUUAGUGCUACGAAUGUUUUCUUAAGGAGCUAAAGUUUUAGUAGAUGGUCAGGAUUGAAAGCUUACUGCAUCAGAGAGUACACUGAAACAGUAUUUAUUUCGCCUUGAUCUGCAGUUUCAUAGUUUGUGCAAUUAAGCAGAAACCAUUAGGAUUUAACAGUUUGCAGCAGUUUGAAUUUGUUGGACCUGUGAAAAAGAACAAAAAUCUAGACAAGCAAAUAUUGUAUUCUUAUGAAAACAAAUCUUAUGAAAUUAAUCAUGGAGAAAGUAAAAUAACAAAGAAGUUCACUAAUUUGAAAAACUUCGAUACAAGUGUAGUACUGUAACCUUGAAGUUUUCUAUGUUUUAUGUGAUUGACUUUAAUCUUCACGGAAAUGGCAUGUUUGUGCGUUUGGAGGCUAAUUGGGUGCUAUAGAGGCAAAUUUAUGCUAGAAAUGGCAUGCUUGUGUACUCGUUAAUUUUGAUAUGUUUCUCUUCAUUACUUGCAAAAUAAUCAGGUUUAGACAUCUCUUCUGAUUGUUAUUGCCAUUUAAUGACCAAUUUUAUCCACCUAUUCAGAAAAGAAGAAAGAAGAAAACUACCAUUUGAUCACGCUUGGCACAUUCAAUAGACUACACCUGAACUCCAGAAAAACAAGGACAGAGGCAGACCAAUCAGGGUGAUAAUUAUUGUAACACACAGGUUGUACUGGAUAGAGUGGGUGUCAUUGUAUUCAUGAAUCUCUGUACUGUCUUUAAUGUUGGAGUUCCACCAUUCAUUGUGGCAGUCCAAUGCAAAAAUUGAUCACUAAAAAGCUGCUUGUUUUCUGUCUGUAUGUCAUAGUGGUCCUAAUCAAAAUCUUUCAGGCAUAUGAUGGAGAUCAGAAUCUAAUGGUUGAUUUGUGGAUAGAUUCCUUGAUUAUUUCUCCAUGAUAAUGUUCUUUUACCAUAAAUAUCUCUUUACAUUAAAGUUUAUUUUUGGUAUUGGAUAAACCAUCCGACAUUUGUCAGCAAUAAUACAGUGUAGCAGGGCCUUAGAGUAUAUAUUAGUGAAGUAGGACUCUUUUCUGAUUGGUCAAGGCUCUUGAGUUUUCCUAUGUGUCUUCAGAAAUAUUUAUCUGAUUCAAAGACCUGCAGCUCCUGUGCAUGCCUAUUUCAUUUAUCUGAUUAGCUUAUUAAACAUGGUCUAAAUUUGUAAUUAUACUAGUUUGUUAUUCCUGAUUUUAUGGAAGUUCACAUUUUGACCACAUUCCUCCCCCUCCUCACGCCAAUAGAAGAAAAUAUCCAUCUCUGGAAAAUGUUCAACAACUUUUUGUUGCAUUUGUAGGAGUGAAGUUUUUGUGGUAAUCUCGUUGUUUGUGCCUCUCUAAUGUAAAUAUCUGCAGUGUUAUCGGUAUCCAUUUUAGGAUAAUCAAAAGUUUGUAAGGUGGCGUUUCUUUGAGGUUUUCCGAAACUUGAGUUUGCAGACUCAGCUUUAAACCUUGAGAAAAGUGUUUGUUUGGGUGUGUUUGCAAAAACUGAGAGAUUUGGAAAACUCAGUUUGGAAAUCUUCACAUAAAGUUAUAUUUGUUCUGGAAACAAGUCAAAGGAACACUUUUUCCAAAACUCAAAACCUGGGUUUGCAAACUCAGUUUUUGGAGAACUCCAAACACUAUGUUUUUCAUAUUGGUUGUACAGCUGGUUCACUUUACUACAAAGAGAUUUUAAUUCGACUGUUUAAUUAGCUAAAUCUCUUAUCUUUGCCAUGAUUCUUAGUGUUUUUUUUUGUUUCUGAUAUAAUUUGUUUAUGAUGUGGAGAUUCAAGCCUUUUUUGCCCAAGGAACAGGCUGGGCUUGAAGGUCGCACCAUUGAUAUUGGCAGUCUCAAAGUUCAUGUGCGCAAUGCAAUUGGAGUAGGCGGAUUCUCUUGUGUUUAUUGCCCGAGAUGUACUACAUGGUUCAAAGCAGUAUGCAUUAAAGCAUAUUAUUGUUAAUGAUGAAGAAUCACUUGAUCUAGUACUGAAAGAAAUUUCAGUGAUGAAAUCGCUCAAGGGUCAUGCUAAUAUUGUCACACUAAAUGCGCAUACCUUCUUGGAUAUGGUUCGUACAAAGGAAGCUCUCCUUGUUAUGGAAUAUUGUGAGAAAUCCUUGGUCAGUGUCCUUGAGAACCGAGGAGCUGGCUUCUUUGAGGAGAAACAAGUCCUCUUAAUAUUCAGGGAUGUAUGCAAUGCUGUCUUUGCUAUGCACUGGCAGUCCCCAACCAUAGCUCAAAGGAUCGAAUCAGAGAGCAUUAUUAGUGGAUUGUCGGCAAAAUUUCUUCAUUGAGCAAACUUCUUUUGUCGUCCUCCCAAGAUGUUGUGGGUAUAGAUGCUCAUCUAGAGCAAGUGAAACCUGCUAUGGAUGAAAACUGAUGACAUUCAAAAUAAUUAUUGGUAUCUGGGGCAUGGGAGGAAUAGGGAAUACGGCAGUUGCACGAGCCAGUUUGAAGCUUCUUGUUUCCGUGGAGAUGUUAAAGAAUACAGGCGUAGCGUGUGCGCUCAUUGCAAAAUGCCCUUCUUGGUAAACUGUUAAGGGAGAAAGAUGAAUGUCGGUAAGGAAGUGCAUGAUAGUGAGUAGACUUCCUUUUAAGAAGGUUCCUAUUUGUGUCUGAUGACAUAGAUCACACACACCAAUUGGAUUACUUAGCAGGGGAUCUUGGUUGGUUUGGUAACCAGUAGAAUGCAUGAUUUGAUACAUGAUAUGGGUAAAUAUGUGGUGAAUAUGCAAAAGAUCCUGAAUGUAGCAGUAUGGCGCAUUGAAGAUACUCAUUGAGUUCUAUCAUUGAAUUAGAACGAAAGUACAUGACAAAUUUAUUGGUCAUGUCUUAAUUAGGAAUUCCUUCGAUCAACAACAACGACAAUAACAAACCCCGUGUAUUCACACAUGUGGAGUAUGGGGAGGGUAGUGUGUAUACAAACCUUACCCCUACCUAGCGAAGCUAAAGAGACGAAUUCCUUCUAUCACUUGAUAAAAAAAAAACUUAAAAGACUCUGAAUCUGAAGAACCUCUGAGAAAAUGUUCUUUAGAAAAUAGAAUUGUGUAAUUAAUUGCUUAGCGAAAUAGUUCAUCUGUUGAGCAACAUUUUUCUUAAAAAAGGACCUAACCAAUACGGUACCUUAAAUUUUCCAAUGGCGCUCCUCGAGAAACUGCUCGUGCAAUAGUAAAGUUUAACCUUGAUAUUAUAGAGUAGAAAUAUAACUAAAAGAAAGUAAAAAGGAAUUGGGCAUCGCGAGGAGUGAAAGUACUUAUAUUUGCAGAGGGAUCCUUGUACUGCGUUUGAAAUUAUACUUUGUUAUCUUUUAAGCAGGGGGCCAAAGCAAUGGAGGCAAUCUGGAUUCGUCGUCCCCCAAAAACUAUUCUUUAGCAGAGGGCCAUGAAAAUUCUAUGAACUCAUCAUGGAUCAAACAGAUGUUGCACAUAGAUAAUGUGAUGAUCCUUUUUGAUUCGCGAUGACUGACAGAUAAUGUGAUGGAUGUUGUGAGUUGCCUUGAUGGCUCUGUUGAUUAUUUGUCCAACAACUUGUGUUGGUUUGUCUGGGAUCGCUAUCCUUCAGAAUCACUUCCAUCGAAUUUUGAACGCAAUAGACUUGUUCAUCUUCGACUCACACGGAUAUCACUAUGUCAAUUAUGGAGAGGAACAAAGGAGAUUGCUUUGUUAAGUUAGUUUCAGCACGAAAACACAGUACGGUAUUAUGUCACACUAGUUCUGAAUAUGAGAAUGGCUACCACGACACACCACGGGUAUAUAUUCUUAAACCUUCUUGGUUUGCAGUGUGUUAUGUCUUACAGCUUGAAGCACGUUUCUAUUAGCUGGAGCUAUUGGGGAGUGCAGAAAAAUCCAGUAAUCGAAGAUCGAUUCAAUAGCAGCUCCUGCACCUACUGAUUUUUGAACCUUCUAACAUCUCGAGCUUGAUAUUGUACUUUAAUCUCAAUUAGAUGGCUAUAACAGUCUGUCCCAAGCUGUAGUUUUUGCACUCUAUGGAUAGGAAUCAAAGAUAAUUUGUGGGGGCUGUAACACCUGUACCGCAAGUUGUCUCAUGAAUAUGUUUUUGGUGUAAUUACUGUGAUGUAUUCAUGUAAAUGAUGUUUAUUACUUUCUGGACUUUCUGUCCCAAGCUGCAUUUUUUGGACCUUAUGGAGAGGAAUCAAAGAUCCUUUAAGGGGUCUACGUCACCUUUUUCGGACCUUA